AGUGCGUAAUAGCUCACUAGUCGAGUGACACUGCGCCGAAAAUGUACCGGGGCUAAACAUAUUACCGAAGCUGUGGAUUGUCCUUUGGACAAUGGUAGGAGAGCGUUCUAAGGGCGUUGAAGCAUGAUCGUAAGGACAUGUGGAGCGCUUAGAAGUGAGAAUGCCGGUGUGAGUAGCGAAAGACGGGUGAGAAUCCCGUCCACCGAUUGACUAAGGUUUCCAGAGGAAGGCUCGUCCGCUCUGGGUUAGUCGGGUCCUAAGCUGAGGCCGACAGGCGUAGGCGAUGGAUAACAGGUUGAUAUUCCUGUACCACCUAUAAUCGUUUUAAUCGAUGGGGGGACGCAGUAGAAUAGGCGAAGCGUGCGAUUGGAUUGCACGUCUAAGCAGUAAGGCUGAGUAUUAGGCAAAUCCGGUACUCGUUAAGGCUGAGCUGUGAUGGGGAGAAGACAUUGUGUCUUCGAGUCGUUGAUUUCACACUGCCGAGAAAAGCCUCUAGAUAGAAAAUAGGUGCCCGUACCGCAAACCGACACAGGUAGUCAAGAUGAGAAUUCUAAGGUGAGCGAGCGAACUCUCGUUAAGGAACUCGGCAAAAUGACCCCGUAACUUCGGGAGAAGGGGUGCUCUUUAGGGUUAACGCCCAGAAGAGCCGCAGUGAAUAGGCCCAAGCGACUGUUUAUCAAAAACACAGGUCUCUGCUAAACCGUAAGGUGAUGUAUAGGGGCUGACGCCUGCCCGGUGCUGGAAGGUUAAGAGGAGUGGUUAGCUUCUGCGAAGCUACGAAUCGAAGCCCCAGUAAACGGCGGCCGUAACUAUAACGGUCCUAAGGUAGCGAAAUUCCUUGUCGGGUAAGUUCCGACCCGCACGAAAGGCGUAACGAUUUGGGCACUGUCUCAACGAGAGACUCGGUGAAAUCAUAGUACCUGUGAAGAUGCAGGUUACCCGCGACAGGACGGAAAGACCCCGUGGAGCUUUACUGUAGCCUGAUAUUGAAAUUCGGCACAGCUUGUACAGGAUAGGUAGGAGCCUUUGAAACGUGAGCGCUAGCUUACGUGGAGGCGCUGGUGGGAUACUACCCUAGCUGUGUUGGCUUUCUAACCCGCACCACUUAUCGUGGUGGGAGACAGUGUCAGGCGGGCAGUUUGACUGGGGCGGUCGCCUCCUAAAAGGUAACGGAGGCGCUCAAAGGUUCCCUCAGAAUGGUUGGAAAUCAUUCAUAGAGUGUAAAGGCAUAAGGGAGCUUGACUGCGAGACCUACAAGUCGAGCAGGGUCGAAAGACGGACUUAGUGAUCCGGUGGUUCCGCAUGGAAGGGCCAUCGCUCAACGGAUAAAAGCUACCCCGGGGAUAACAGGCUUAUCUCCCCCAAGAGUUCACAUCGACGGGGAGGUUUGGCACCUCGAUGUCGGCUCAUCGCAUCCUGGGGCUGUAGUCGGUCCCAAGGGUUGGGCUGUUCGCCCAUUAAAGCGGUACGCGAGCUGGGUUCAGAACGUCGUGAGACAGUUCGGUCCCUAUCCGUCGUGGGCGUAGGAAAUUUGAGAGGAGCUGUCCUUAGUACGAGAGGACCGGGAUGGACAUACCUCUGGUGUACCAGUUGUCGUGCCAACGGCAUAGCUGGGUAGCUAUGUGUGGACGGGAUAAGUGCUGAAAGCAUCUAAGCAUGAAGCCCCCCUCAAGAUGAGAUUUCCCAACUUCGGUUAUAAGAUCCCUCAAAGAUGAUGAGGUUAAUAGGUUCGAGGUGGAAGCAUGGUGACAUGUGGAGCUGACGAAUACUAAUCGAUCGAAGACUUAAUCAA
rnacentral:rRNA from 1 species